rnacentral:rRNA from 1 species
GGGAUAUUGCACAAUGGAGGAAACUCUGAUGCAGCGACGCCGCGUGAGUGAAGAAGUAUUACGGUAUGUCAAGCUCUAUCAGCAGGGAAGAAAGGCCGCGUAAGCGGAGAUGACGGUACCUGACUAAGAAGCCCCGGCUAACUACGUGCCAGCAGCCGCGGUAAUACGUAGGGGGCAAGCGUUAUCCGGAUUUACUGGGUGUAAAGGGGGCGCAGACGGGCUUGCAAGUCUGAAGUGAAAACCCACGGCUCAACUGUGGGCUUGCUUUGGAAACUGUAAACCUGGAGUGUCGGAGGGGUAAGCGGAAUUCCUGGUGUAGCGGUGAAAUGCGUAGAUAUCAGGAAGAACACCGGUGGCGAAGGCGGCUUACUGGACGACAACUGACGUUGAGGCCCGAAGGCGUGGGGAGCAAACA